rnacentral:rRNA from 1 species
UUACGGGAGGCAGCAGUAGGGAAUCUUCCACAAUGGACGAAAGUCUGAUGGAGCAACGCCGCGUGAGUGAUGAAGGUUUUCGGAUCGUAAAACUCUGUUGUAAGGGAAGAACAAGUACGAGAGGUAAUGCUCGUACCUUGACGGUACCUUGCGAGAAAGCCACGGCUAACUACGUGCCAGCAGCCGCGGUAAUA